AGGUCAAGCGCGAGAGUAAGAACUAUUCAAGAAGUCACAGUACCUUAGCAAAACUUUGCUAUCAGGUUGAGCUGUGAUGGGCGAUGAAGUGUUGUUGCUGAGUAGAGCUUUUGUCGAACUUAAAGUAGGCUCAGAAAGGAUACAUGUCUUCAUACAUAUAUCUCAGUUAUGCAUUCCGCUGUAAACACUGAUUAUUUCAGUUACACCUUCCGUUGCAAACUUUGAUAAUGUUUUAGCCAAGCCCUAACGAUGCCUUUUUCCUUUUAAGGAAUAUAACGCGUAUACAAGUUCUUUGAGUA